CCAAAUUGGGGAUUUAGGGAUUUUAGGAUUUUGGGGAUUUUCGGACUUUUAAAAUUGGGGAUUUUCUGAUUUUGCAAAUUGGGGAUUUUCUGAUUUUACAAAUUGGGAUUUUCUGAUUUUACAGAUUUUUUUUUUUUUUUUUAAAUUUUUUUAACAUUCUGUUGCUGUUCUCUUUCUAAUUUUCACGAUGGAUCCUAAAAAUCAAGGCCACGCCACAAGGAAUAGUGUCAAAUCAUGCUAAAUUUACUAUAUAUGGCCAAGUUGAGUCUUGGAAUAUCCUGAUUUUCGGGGAAUCCAUUCAUCCUAGUGUGGCAAAUCAUAUAAGUAGAUUGGAUGGCAUAUAAAUAUCAAGGUGGAACCUGCAUGUACUUUGGACGAUUUUGGUGGUGGGAAUUACUAUUUCAACUGUUCCCCGACAGGUGUUGUCUUUGGUUUUGGAAGAUUUUGGGUACCACCCACUCCGCAUGGUCCAUAUAGGCAAUUUGGAUCAUUGCAGCAUGCCCUGGAUCUAGCUGCAGUUAGCGGUGAAACUUGGACAGGUGGAUUUGGAUUGAAGAUGGAUCUAGCAGUGCAACAUGUCCUCCUUAUACACAGUAGAGAUGUGAAAGAUGGAGGAAACGACUGGAGCCUGGAGCUGUUGAUGUGUUUCUUGAUUUCAUUUACUACUCAGGUGGUCCUCUACCUGACGAACUGCUCACCCAAGUUAAGGGAGUUCAUGUUUCAGAGGAUUUUGUUGCCGAGCAAUUGAGGUCCAUGAUUUCUGAUAUGUAGGUUGCUGUGGUCACUCAGGUUGGCAGCUGGUAUACAGGAAGUCAAAGUUGAAAUGAAAAUGAUGCCCAUCCCAAGCAUUACAACAAAUAUGAUGUUGAACUGUGGUGCCAAUUAUUUCU